CCUGUAGCUAUUCUGGAUUAUUUGAAAGAAAUAAUAAUAUCUGGGGAAUCCUAAAAGCUGAGUUUUAACAUUAGUAAGGGCCAGAAGAAUUUAAAUCCUAAUUUAAGCCAGAAUUCAUGAAGAGUUCCGGUACAGAUAGUGUUUUUAUCUGGCUUGAAGCAGGGCUCAAAACCAGGUCAGGAGGGCUUGUUGGGCCAGGAGUGUCCGUGGUUGGUGAGGAGGCUGGGGGAAGGCCUUUUGAUGGCUCCAUUGUUCACAGUGCUGCCCUACAUAUACCAUACCCCACCCCACCUCCUCUGCCAGGGCCGAGGGGAACAGUAGGUCCGGUAAACUGAGCUCUAGGGAGCUGGUACCAGCGUCCCUCACCCACCCUCGGCUACCCCUUGGGGCAGCAACGAUGCCAUCCCUGCCCCUGGUAGAGAACACACAAAGGAAGCCCCACCCGUCCUUGGACCUGAAGACACGCUGGGGAGGGGGCUGGCGUGGACCCGUUUCAGGGUGCCACCAACCCCCGCGGGGAACAAUAGCUGCCGCCUCCUGGGCGGUCUGGCGAGCGCAAGGCACAAAGGUCCGCGCCGCGCGGUGAUGCGCAGGCUCGCUCCGCGCGCGUUCUCCGCGCCCCCGCGAGCCGCCAGGCUGCAGGCAGGGUGGGCUGAUGCUCCUGAUCCACCUGGAGCACUUUCGCAAAGACAAACGCGGUUCCUCCUACUUCUGAGCAAGUCUGGGCCAGCUGGGAUCCGACCAGAAACCGCAAGCGGAGGAGACGCAGGCACACAAGCUGAGCGCUAAUGGAAGGCGCGACCUGAGCCCCGCGCCUGCUGGGGAGCUGCGCAGCCGGGACAGCAGUCGGCAGCGCAGGGCUGGCCGUCGCCCCCUCACGUCCGAAGCUAGCAAGGCUGCCCGCCAGCCCCGCCGCCCGCCAGCCCCGCCGCCCGCCUUCGGACUUCCCGGGACGCCCAGGGCCCUCCCAACGCGCCUGCACCCACACCCGCCCCUGACCCACAGUGACCCUGCAUUCCCCGCCCCCCGCCACACCUCCUGCGUGCCGGAAUGCCACCCUUAAACGCUGCUCUACACCCAGAGAGGGCCGAAUCCACCUUUGAAGGCAGGGCAGGACUAAUUUCAAUGGGUCAGAAGGUUCUUGCAGGCACUGUUUUAUUUAAGAGUGUCUAUUUACUGGCAGGAGUAUUUGUGUGGGAGGAAGUAGGCUAAGACUGCUGUUGAACUUGAAGCUAAACUUGAAUGCCAUUUAAAAUAACAAUAAAAAUAUACUUAAAACACCAA